GACAGAGGUCUCGAGCGUUAGGCGGAAUCACUGGGCUUAAAGCGUGUGUAGGCGGAUGUCUAAGUGUCUUGUGAAAUCCCCCGGCUCAACCGGGGAACUGCUUGACAUACUGGAUGUCUUGAGCCACCUAGGGGCAACUGGAACAAAUGGUGGAGCGGUGAAAUGCGUAGAUAUCAUUUGGAACGCCAACGGUGAAAACAGGUUGCUGGGGGUGUGCUGACGCUGAGACACGAAAGCCAGGGGAGCAAACGGG
rnacentral:rRNA from 1 species